rnacentral:rRNA from 1 species
GAUGAACGCUGGCGGCGUGCCUAAUACAUGCAAGUCGAGCGAACGGACGAGAAGCUUGCUUCUCUGAUGUUAGCGGCGGACGGGUGAGUAACACGUGGAUAACCUACCUAUAAGACUGGGAUAACUUCGGGAAACCGGAGCUAAUACCGGAUGAUAUUUUGAACCGCAUGGUUCAAAAGUGAAAGACGGUCUUGCUGUCACUUAUAGAUGGAUCCGCGCUACAUUAGCUAGUUGGAAAGGUAACGGCUUACCAAGGCAACGAUGCAUAGCCGACCUGAGAGGGUGAUCGGCCACACUGGAACUGAGACACGGUCCAGACUCCUACGGGAGGCAGCAGUAGGGAAUCUUCCGCAAUGGGCGAAAGCCUGACGGAGCAACGCCGCGUGAGUGAUGAAGGUCUUCGGAUCGUAAAACUCUGUUAUUAGGGAAGAACAUAUGUGUAAGUAACUGUGCACAUCUUGACGGUACCUAAUCAGAAAGCCACGGCUAACUACGUG